UACGAAGGGUGCAAGCGUUGUUCGGAUUUACUGGGCGUAAAGCGUCCGUAGGUGGUUUGUUAAGUCAGGGGUGAAAUCCCAGGGCCCAACCCUGGAACUGCCUUUGAUACUGGCAAACUGGAGCGUGAUAGAGGAAGAUGGAAUAUCUGGUGUAGGGGUGAAAUCCGUAGAUAUCAGAUGGAACACCAAUGGCGAAGGCAGUCUUCUGGAUCAUUGCUGACACUGAGGGACGAAAGCGUGGGUAGCAAACAGA
rnacentral:rRNA from 1 species